AGUGUCCACGUAUGCAAAAAUAUUCAGACCAAUCACACUAUUGUAUUGUGCCAUGUCAGCGUUCUUCAGUCUAACCAACAGACGAUAUUGUUUUUCUUUUUGAUGACCUUUCCGAUUUCUCAUUCUUAACAGUUUAUCUAUUUUUUUUCAUUAACUUCGCCCAUGAAUCCUCUUCGACUCCUCUUUCUCUGCUCUCUCUAUAUCUAGCGAUGAAAAAACCCUAUCAAUCUCCGCCGGAAAUUAAGAUCCACUGAUUAAUCAAAAAAAAAAAAAAUUAAGAUCCACUGAAUGCGGCUUGCUUUAGUCGAUCUCAGCAAAGUACGAGAAUGUCGAGAAAACUCCUUCUGGAUCAGUCUUCGGAAAUCGUUUCUCAGCAGCUAUGUGAUGGAUGUGGCAUGUUAUUUAGAGAAUUGUCCAGAUUUGUAUUGGAAAGAUGCAUCUGCAGCCACAAGGGUCUGACAGAUUCCAUUUACCCACAUGGAAACCAGAGCUACGUACAUAGAGCUUGCUCAACAAAAGGGAAAAUGCAGUUGUAAAUACAUUUCUGGUGGUAUAUUCAAGGCUGAUCUAGACUCCUGGUUAAGAGAUCUGUCAGUUUCAACAACAAAACUCUAGAGCCCACGAUCUUAGGAUUUUGUGGUAAAAUGGUUGUUGAGAAAUCCAUUCCCUUCAAAUGGAUGCAACCGGAGAGAAUGAUCUCGCUCUGAGUUACACAUUGUUGGGAUUUUUAGAUAAAUUUCAGUUCUUGAUCUGAGGAACCCCAAACGAAGCUGCUCUUAAGUUACAUAAAUUUUACAAAAGAUUUGGUACCAGGUGAAAGCUCGCAGGCUGUGCAGUGCUCGUGGAGCAAAGGUGUUACCUGUUAGUGUUUUGAUCUCAAAACUUCUGGUGUUAUUGUGUUGUCGUGAUCUUAUGUUGUAUGAUAAAUCCCCUUUGUUUCAAUCACAGGCAGAAACUCUUAGACUUUGGUGAGGUAAAGAUAAGUUAUAUAUCAUUCUUUGAUAUCAAGAAACAUGAAACCGUGAAUUCCAGGUGGGAUCUCGAGCUUGGACAAGAGCAGAUGAGGUUGGUAAAGGUUUGUGACCUUUGACAUCGGUAUGGACAUAACCUUCAUUUUUACUAUAAGUUGCUCCACUUCCAGAGUAGAGACCUUCUACUGGUUUGAUAUUGGCAAGGAGUAAGAAGUAAAACUUGUGAAGAAGUGUCUCGGUUGAAACUUCAACAUUAAUUAAGUACCUUGGUCUGGUUAGUAUCUAUUUCUUUUUGUUGACAUGAUUAUGCUUUGUGUAUAUGGAAAGGCAAGCUUCUGAGGUUUUUCUGAAAGACGGGAAAUUCUUUUACAAGAACAGUGGAGAUAUGCUUCAAACUUCUUCUAUGAAAGAUAGUGAUCCACAAAAAUUUUGGUGCUCAGCACAUCAAAAGUAUUAUAUGUUCAGAAGAAGGGGAAGUUUUAACAGUUAAGCUUCUUAGCUGGAGGAGCUAAUGUUGCUGCAUGAAGAAUUGUUGUUUAAAAUGGUGUUCUUACGGCUGUUUGGCCAUUGUCCAUGCUUGGUAGCAAUUUUUAAUUUUAGUAUAGUAGAUCAUAUAAAAAUAUAGAUUGAAAUUAACUGUGUUGUGAGUAUUGUUUUAUAGCUAAUAAGAAAACUGUGAAAAUUUAAUUUCAAAAAGCUUCA